rnacentral:rRNA from 1 species
AGGUGGUGCAUGGUUGUCGUCAGCUCGUGUCGUGAGAUGUUGGGUUAAGUCCCGCAACGAGCGCAACCCUCGCCUCUAGUUGCCAGCAUUCGGUUGGGCACUCUAGAGGGACUGCCGGCGACAAGUCGGAGGAAGUGGGAUGACGUCAAAUCAUCAUGCCCCUUAUGACCUGGGCUACACACGUGCUACAAUGGGCGGUACAAAGGGCUGCGAACCCGCGAGGGGGAGCGAAUCCCAAAAAGCCGCUCUCAGUUCGGAUUGCAGGCUGCAACUCGCCUGCAUGAAGUCGGAAUCGCUAGUAAUCGCAGGUCAGCAUACUGCGGUGAAUACGUUCCCGGGCCUU